AAUAGAUACCCGGGUAGUCCACGCCGUAAACGAUGAGUGCUAAGUGUUAGGGGGUUUCCGCCCCUUAGUGCUGCAGCUAACGCAUUAAGCACUCCGCCUGGGGGAGUACGGCCGCAAGGCUGAAACUCAAAGGAAUUGACGGGGGGCCCGCACAAGCGGUGGAGCAUGUGGUUUAAUUCGAAGCAACGCGAAGAACCUUACCAGGUCUUGACAUCCUCUGACAACUCUAGAGAUAGAGCGUUCCCCUUCGGGGGACAGAGUGACAGGUGGUGCAUGGUUGUCGUCAGCUCGUGUCGUGAGAUGUUGGGUUAAGUCCCGCAACGAGCGCAACCCUUGAUCUUAGUUGCCAGCAUUCAGUUGGGCACUCGUAAGGUGACUGCCGGUGACAAACCGGAGGAAAGGUGGGGACGACGGUCAAAUCAUCAUGCCCCUUAUGACCUGGGCUACACACGUGCUACAAUGGACGGUACAAAGAGUCGCAAGACCGCGAGGUGGAGCUAAUCUCAAUAAAACCGUUCUCAGUUCGGAUUGCAGG
rnacentral:rRNA from 1 species